UACGAAGGGGGCGAGCGUUGUUCGGAUUUACUGGGCGUAAAGGGCGCGCAGGCGGCUUUGUUUGUCAGGCGUGAAAGCCCCGGGCUUAACCUGGGAACUGCGUUUGAUACGGCAGGGCUAGAGUUCGGGAGAGGAGAGUGGAAUUCCCAGUGUAGAGGUGAAAUUCGUAGAUAUUGGGAAGAACACCGGUGGCGAGGGCGGCUCUCUGGACCGAUACUGACGCUGAGGCGCGAAAGCGUGGGGAGCAAACAGGG
rnacentral:rRNA from 1 species